GAUGAACGCUGGCGGCGUGCCUAAUACAUGCAAGUCGAGCGAACAGACGAGGAGCUUGCUCCUCUGACGUUAGCGGCGGACGGGUGAGUAACACGUGGAUAACCUACCUAUAAGACUGGGAUAACUUCGGGAAACCGGAGCUAAUACCGGAUAAUAUAUUGAACCGCAUGGUUCAAUAGUGAAAGACGGUUUUGCUGUCACUUAUAGAUGGAUCCGCGCCGCAUUAGCUAGUUGGUAAGGUAACGGCUUACCAAGGCAACGAUGCGUAGCCGACCUGAGAGGGUGAUCGGCCACACUGGAACUGAGACACGGUCCAGACGCCUACGGGAGGAAGCAGUAGGGAAUCUUCCGCAAUGGGCGAAAGCCUGACGGAGCAACGCCGCGGGGGUGAUGAAGGUCUUCGGAUCGUAAAACUCUGUUAUUAGGGAAGAACAAAUGUGUAAGUAACUAUGCACGUCUUGACGGUACCUAAUCAGAAAGCCACGGCUAACUACGUG
rnacentral:rRNA from 1 species